rnacentral:rRNA from 1 species
GAUGAACGCUGGCGGCGUGCCUAAUACAUGCAAGUCGAGCGAAUGGAUUAAGAGCUUGCUCUUAUGAAGUUAGCGGCGGACGGGUGAGUAACACGUGGGUAACCUGCCCAUAAGACUGGGAUAACUCCGGGAAACCGGGGCUAAUACCGGAUAACAUUUUGAACCGCAUGGUUCGAAAUUGAAAGGCGGCUUCGGCUGUCACUUAUGGAUGGACCCGCGUCGCAUUAGCUAGUUGGUGAGGUAACGGCUCACCAAGGCAACGAUGCGUAGCCGACCUGGGAGGGCGAUCGGCCACUCUGGGACUGGUACACGGCCCAGACUCCUACGGGAGGCAGCAGUAGGGAAUCUUCCGCAAUGGACGAAAGUCGGACGGAGCAACGCCGCGUGAGUGAUGAAGGCUUUCGGGUCGUAAAACUCUGUUGUUAGGGAAGAACAAGUGCUAGUUGAAUAAGCUGGCACCUUGACGGUACCUAACCAGAAAGCCACGGCUAACUACGUGCCAGCCGCCGCAGUAA